GUUCUGCGCGAUCGCGUGCACAUGGCAGCCCUGCAACCAGCACCACGCAUUCACCGGUGAGUACUACGCCCGAGGCGCGCCCGCCACCUGUUCGACCUAAUGCCUCGCUAACCAAGGCGUGACUGAGAAGAGGCCAGGCUUGUAAGCUGACCUCAAAGAGGGAGAGAGCGUUGCCGAAGAUGAAGUCCACGGAGCCUUCGAUGUAGCAAUCCUUGUAGUAAUGCCUGCCGAGGUGAUCGUAGAGCGUGUCCUGCGCCCCCAGAAACUUGCAUCCCACGAAGGCGGCGGUGUCCCCCGAUAUCCUCAGCGCCACCGCUUGCUUCCCCCUAGCCCCUGGUCGUGGAACAGGGGUGGUGUUCUGUGAGAACAGAAAAGGACAAGGGUUGUUGGAUUGGGCGCUGGAACAGGGAGGUGUCGUUGUCGGUAUUGCUUACCUUGAAGGUUAUGUUCUUGGCUAUGAAAUAGGGAGCAUUGACGGCAAAGGUGGCUGAAUUGAAGGUGCCAAUUGGCUGUCCUCUCGGCCCGAGUGUCUCAGCGGUGUCGCCCCACUGCACCACUGUGCUAUCCGCUCCCGCUCCUUGUAUGCUGAUGAAGGCUCUCAUCGCCGGAAUCUCCACCUUCUCCCUGCUCCAUGAUUAACACCCCGGUAAUCAAGCGAUCGACCAAUGUACAAGUAGCCAAAGAGGAGACGACGAAGAAUGCUCACUCACGUGUAAGUGCCGGCAUUGACCUUGAUCACCACGCGCACCAAGUUAAUCAGCGGGAGCGAGUCGACGGCGGCCUGGAUCGUGGUGAAAUCUCCGACCGAUGGCUUCUUGUCAACAGUGAGCGUGUAGGAAGGGAACGCCUUGUUGAGCGCCCUGCUGAACACGCUAUGCCGGAGGCCACCGACGAACCAGACCCACCUCAUGAACUGCUGCUCCGCCAACUCCGCCUGCGUGGAGUUCUUCUGCCGCCGCGGCAGCCGGAGCCCCUUGGUAUGACACUGGACCUCCCCGGAGUCCACCAGCAGCAGGAGAACCACGGCGAACGCAAUUCCUCGUAAUCUGAACAUCGUCUGGGCGACGCCCGCAACGUGUCUGUGGAAAUGCAGAGCAGAAAAGAUAGAAGAUGAAUUGAGAGAGAUCACGGGUCCUUCCACCGAGAAAAUUAAAGGCAGAGGUGCUUUUAUACAUGCGUACAUGCAGCCCGUGAUCUCCCUCCAUGGCAUCCCAUGAACACCAAGAAAAGGAACUGUCUGGUACGCUUCGCUAAAAACCACAGAGAGCAUCAUUUGUAUAAUGGAAUAGACUGUGGCUCCACACUGUGAGUGAAACCUUACACUUUUGUCAUUUACAGCACUAAAACUGAAACUUCUCCAUCUCCGAGUCGGAUUCAUCAACAUCAUUUAGCUUGUUAGGAUGUUGUACAACUGAAGUUUCUGUUCCCAGUAAAAGAGACACUGUACCUCGACUUGCUUAUUAAUCUUAUAAAUUUUUGUCUCAGGAUCAAUCCUUUUUGCAGACUAAGCAUCCAUUAUGCUGUUGCAGGUUGCUAAUGGCAUUAUGGCAAUGGGCAAUGGGCCAUCCAUGAGGUGAGCUUGUGGUGGUGGUGGGGUGGUUGUGUGUGGGUUGUUUAGGUCGAGUGACUGGGUGAGCAAUUUGCUCUUAUCUUCCUCGUGCCUUCAUGCAUGCAGAGUAGCAUUGAGGGCACUGAGUUAGGUCUUAAUUAACUCCGAGGGGGAGUGACGCAGGGCGCAUGAUACUAGUUAAUGGUCCAGUCGCUCAUUGUUGAUUUUGUCCUUUCUGCAUGAAGCUUUUGAAGGUUUAUUGGUCGAGCACGAUGUAUUCGGAGAUAAUAAGCCAUCUCCUCUCCGCGAGGUCCAGCUACCUUCUUUGAGGCGCAGCCCUGCUAACACUCGUAUUUAGGAGUCCCCUAUAACGGAGACUUUUGUCGAGAGCUGGUUAUCUUCGGUUUCAACUUCCUAAAUUGUUUUUGACAAUCGCAGCCUUUGUAUUUGGCUGUCAGGACCCCUCUUGGCCGAAGACAGGGAUGGCACUUGGUCAACGGUCCGACCAUGCUAGAUGUACAAUUCAAUCGUUGUCUCUGGUGUCCGAUAAUUUAGGGAUAAAAAUCUAUCAGAUCAGAUUUUAUAUCUUUUGCUUUCA